AUUGAACGCUGGCGGCAUGCCUAACACAUGCAAGUCGAACGGCAGCAUGGUCUAGCUUGCUAGACUGAUGGCGAGUGGCGAACGGGUGAGUAACGCGUAGGAAUAUACCUUAAAGAGGGGGAUAACCUGGGGAAACUCAGACUAAUACCGCGUAAUCUCUAAGGAGCAAAGCUGGGGACUUUUCGGAGCCUGGCGCUUUAAGAAUAGCCUGCGUCUGAUUAGCUAGUUGGUGGGGUAAAGGCCUACCAAGGCGACGAGCGGUAGCUGGUCUGAGAGGAUGGUCAGCCACACUGGGACUGAGACACGGCCCAGACUCCUACGGGAGGCAGCAGUGGGGAAUAUUGGACAAUGGGGGCAACCCUGAUCCAGCGAUGCCGCGUGUGUGAAGAAGGCCUGAGGGUUGUAAAGCACUUUCAGUGGGGAGGAGGAUUGACAGGUUAAGAGCUAGUUAAUUGGACGUUACCCACAGAAGAAGCACCGGCUAACUCCGUGCCAGCCGCCGCGGUAAAAC
rnacentral:rRNA from 1 species